AUAAACAGUAGGAUGAGUAAUUAAAGAGCUGCUUUCAGAGAAUCGCUGGUUGGUGUAAAGCGAUAAGAAGUAAUUUAAUGAAGAUGGUCCUAUCUUUAAAGUUACAUUGCUAAGCCGAUUAUAAGCGGUAAAGCGGUGGCGGUAACUUCCGUUAUAGAGUUAGAGGUAAUAGUACCUCUUGAGAAACUGCUUGUGAAAGCUGUUUAAACUAAGGUGGUAGCACGGAAAUGAGUACUUUUCGUCCUUGUU
rnacentral:ncRNA from 1 species